UUUGCUUAGCUUGUAUCGUCCCAAAUCAAUCAACCAAUAUGACAAGAGAAGAAUCUCACAGCUUUGUGCUUCGUUUGUAUCAGUAUAAGCUCUACAGUACACACUUAAGUGUAUAAAUAAAGCUCAAAACCUGCACUAUCUCCCAAGAAAGCAAAACAAAUAAAAAUGGAAGUCCAAAUUAUUUCAAAAGAAAAUGUCAAACCAUCUUCUCCAACACCUCCACACCUAAAAAUCUUCAAACUUUCCCUUUUAGAUCAGUUCAUGCCAUCUCCAUAUGCUCCAAUUGUUCUCUUCUAUCCCAUGAUCAAGAACACAAACCAUCUUGAUGUCUCCAGCAAAUUAAAGCUGCUAAAAGAAUCUCUAUCACAGACCUUAACUUGCUUUUACCCUCUAGCUGGAAUUAUCAAAGAUGAUCUUUCAAUUGAGUGCAAUGACAAAGGGGCCAAUUUUGUGGAAGCUAGAGUUACUUGUCGCCUACAUGAGUUUCUUGCUCAACCUGACCUCAUGUUAAUAAAUAAAUUUCUUCCUUGUCAAUUCGUUGUCAAUAAAUCAACCGUAGGAGCUUUUGUGACAAAUAUUCAAGCAAACAUCUUCGAUUGCGAUGGUAUUGCCAUUGGUAUUUGCAUAUCUCACAAAAUCUUGGAUGGCGAUGCACUGAGUACAUUUCUCAAGGGGUGGACUUAUGCUUCCAGGGGAUGCAAUGAAGCAAUAUAUCCUAAAUUUGUUGCUAGUUUUCUUUUCCCUGCAAAUGACUUAUGGCUUAAAAACUCAUCAGCUGUGAUGUGGAGUUCCUUGUUGAGAAAGGGUAAUUGCAUAACCAGAAGAUUUGUUUUUGAUUCCUCAGCAAUAGAAAAGCUUAAGGCUCAGGCAAACAGUUCGGGUCUGCAAUGUCCAACUCGAGUUGAGACAGUCUCAGCUUUUCUUUGGAAGUCCAUUAUGUCUGCCUCUGCAAAAGUAAAUGGAUUUCAAAAGCCUUCUUUAUUAACACACAUAGUGAAUCUGCGUAGAAGAAUGGAACCAUCCUUGUCAGAGAAUUCCUUGGGAAAUUUCCUGUGGAUAGCAGCUGCACAGUACACAGACGAGGCCAAGCCGAAACUCAGUGAUUUGGUGAGUAAAGUGAAGGAAGCGAUAUCAAGAAUUGAUGAGGAGUUUGUUAAGAAAAUAAAAGGUGAGGAAGAGAAUUCUGUGCUGUCUGAGUCUCUAAAGGAAAUUGGUGAAAUGGACUCUUAUAAAAAUGGAAGAGACUGCUUUGGAUUUUCAAGCUGGUGCAAAUUUGGCUAUUAUGAUGCUGAUUUUGGGUGGGGAAAGCCUGUGUGGAUUAGCAGUAUGGGUUUGGAAGGUUCAGUAUUUAUGAAUCUGAUAAUUUUGGUUGAAACAAGAUUUGGUGAUGGUAUAGAAGCAUGGUUGACCCUAGAUGAACAAGAAAUGGCCAUUUUGGAAGGCAACCAAGACCUCCUCAAAUUGGCAUCCCUGAACCCAAGUCCUCUGGUUAUUGGACGACCACUGGGCACCUGUCCGCUACCCAUAUUUGAUUAUGGGGCCCAUCUACAUUCUGAUGAUGUUUAUUUUACUCACCGUCCGAUCCAACGGCAUCAGAUAAAAUUAAAAAAACAAUAAUGUGAACGUCGCCGUUGAACUUGCAGAAUUUGACAAGCUGACAAAGGCACCUUCUUUCUCUCUCGCUGAUCGUCACCAUAGGAAUUGGGAACAAAAAAAAAAAAAAAAAAAAGUCUCGCGUUGAAUCGCAGCGCUGGUCGUUGUUGCCUUUGCCUGAAAAAUGAAAAUUGAAAUGAAAUGA